GAUGAACGCUGGCGGCGUGCCUAAUACAUGCAAGUCGAGCGAACGGACGAGAAGCUUGCUUCUCUGAUGUUAGAGGCGGACGGGUGAGUAACACGUGGAUAACCUACCUAUAAGAAUGGGAUAACUUCGGGAAACAGGAGCUAAUACCGGAUAAUAUUUUGAACCGCAUGGUUCAAAAGUGAAAGACGGUCUUGCUGUCACUUAUAGAUGGAUCCGCGCUGCAUUAGCUAGUUGGUAAGGUAACGGCUUACCAAGGCAACGAUGCAUAGCCGACCUGAGAGGGUGAUCGGCCACACUGGAACUGAGACACGGGCCAGACUCCUACGGGAGGCAGCAGUAGGGAAUCUUCCGCAAUGGGCGAAAGCCUGACGGAGCAACGCCGCGUGAGGGAUGAAGGUCUUCGGAUCGUAAAACUCUGUUAUUAGGGAAGAACAUAUGUGUAAGUAACUGUGCACAUCUUGACGGUACCUAAUCAGAAAGCCACGGCUAACUACGUG
rnacentral:rRNA from 1 species